rnacentral:lncRNA from 1 species
GUGCCUGAGUAAGCCCCAUGGGAACACAGCCGUGGUGGGAAGCAGCUUCCCAGCAGCCCUCCCCGCCAUCGGGAGAAUCCCCUGAGGCCAUGAGAGGGUCUCAGGGAGGUGGACGGCCCAUCAAGUGAGAACCGAGGGCACUGUGCACUCCUGAAUCCUAGGACUCCUCUUAGCUGUGUCUUGUCUCUACUUGGGGUACAAUUAAUAGCAGAGCCAGUCAUGUCCUACCAGCAUUCCUUUUAUACAGGCUGGAUAUAUGUGUCAUUGACUAACAACAUCAACAAUGAAAUGAAUCUGAGAAAACAGGAAAUUGAGAGCAAGAGAAAAAAAAGUUAAUUAUACUGAUUUUGUAUAAGACCCCUUUGAACACAUUUUUAAAAAAUCAAAUAGAAGGUGCCCAGGUCCACUGUGCCUUGUGAAUAUUUGUCUUGUAUAUCCUAGAGAUCUACGCAUUCAUGUGGGAAUUGAAAAGGACCCACAUUUUACUAGAAGCAUCGUUCAUUUUUGCCUCAAAACAAUGCCCACAUGUCAGAAGAACUUUCACAAUUCACAGGAACAGUGACCUAAUUAACCAACCAUAAAAUUGCCAAAUCCCUACUUCUCAUUGUUUAAUAUGCUUAGAAAACCCAUUCAAAUUGUGAAUUAUCAAGUGAGCUUACACUGAUAAAUAGAUCCAAUAUUUAGGAAUUUUUAAAUCUUCCAUUCCUUUUUUUUUUUUGUCUUUUUAAAAAUAGAACAUUAGAAUAUGUCCUCCAGGUUUUAGAGAUGGGGGAGACAUGCUUCCCUUUAUUUCUCAGUAACUCAGCCAAAAAAAAUCUGGAGAGAAUGCAAAGACAGCUACUGGAAACUUUGAAAAGUAGAUGUGAGCCCAUCAGGGAAGAGCUAGAGAAUCUGAAAUCUACUCGAAAAAGUGAGUUUGAUACUUUGUGUUCCUAUCCUAACUCCACACAGCCUGAAACUUGGAAGUGAGCAUGAUGGAGUGGAUACAGUGAGAUGCAGAAGAAAUCCUCCAGUUUGGGCUGGAAGGGAAAAAAGAGACCCCUAAAACUCAGAGACAGUGGAAGAAAUUCCUGGUGUUUUUUUCUUCUCUUUUUCUCUGUUCUUCCACAUAGCAAUUUAGUAUUGACUACAGCAUCUCUGUUACAAUGAUAGCACCGAAAUGUUGUAACCAUAUGGCCUGCAAAGCCAAAAAUACUUAUCUGACCAUCUACAGGAAAAGUUUGCUGAUCUGGAUGAAAUAUUCUGAUACUAAAUAUUCCAUUUUGAGGCUGAUAUUCCUAAUCUAUUCAUAAGGAUGGCAUAUCUACCCAGUGGGCCUGCUGGGACUCCAGUUACCCGAUGCACAUACAUUGCUUGGUGUGGCAGUUUCGUGUGCAUUUUUGGUGAUGAUGCUCCACGGAACAUCUGCAGAUGUGCUGUCAAUUUGGACAGCUCUGACUACCGAGUGAAUGGGAAGUACUAACGAGAACUGUCUGCUUGGGAACUCCAUGAAGUUCGUGGCUUUUGUGAUUGAAAUAGCAUCAAUAAAAGGUUGACACUGUGGAACAACACAAGCCUGCAUGGACCUGGUUAUCUCUGACCUCGCACCACUCAUGAGACCAUACCUGAGCCCUACUCCACUUUGGCAGAACUGUUGCAUGGCCUCUCUUCAUAUAAUACCUCUCCGUACACCGUACACCGCAGCUCAAAGAAAGGAUAUAUGCUCCCUGUGAAGACUAAUGGAACUGUCCCUCCUGAUCCUCCUACAGACUUCCUCUGGCCUAAUGGGUGCACCAUUGCAUUAUAUCUGCCAUCUAUACACACAUAUACCUUUCAACCCUGCACUCUCUGAGAUGACUGGACUCAUGCCUAAAUAACUGAUGCUGUCCCUAGUGUAAGGAAGCUGCCUGACGAGGAGCUGUACGGAAAUAAGAGUAAUUCAGUGAUGGGGUCCAAGCAUCCUGAAUAUAAGCGGUCCAUGUCAAGAAAGAGCCAAAGGGCGUCCUCAGGACAUGGAAGAGGGGCAUUCCAGGCUGGCAGCUGGGGAGGCCCAGAGAGCCCUGGAGAAGAUCUGAAGUCCAUUGCAGAGCUUUCUUUAAGACUACUGAAUUGUACAGAAGAAGCAGAAAUGAAAAAAAAAUUAAAAAUAUAGAAAUGAUGUAUUUUAAUGAGAUUUAAACAUCUAGGGGAGAGUUUGGGGUGGGAAUGCUGAUAAGUUCAUAGAAAAGUAA